rnacentral:lncRNA from 1 species
GGGCUUAGGGCGGGUGUUAGUGGGGCAGUCACCACCUGAGCUCGCAUGCUGCGAACACACAGUGCUGUGAUGUACCGCUGCCGCUGAGAAUCUUAAGCCUCGCGCACAAGUCAAAGAUAAUUCCAACCUGGAUCUUCUUGUCUUGUUUUCCAUGUUGUUCAGAACAGAAAUACAUGCUAGGACAAACCAGACAUUGCAUAUCAACUGCAGCAGCCCAGUCUUGUUCCUCCUGGCACCGGCUGCCAUGCUGUGGGUACAGCUCCAGGUGAGGAUAACCUGCGGGAGGGGACGUACGCAUUAGAAAAAAGAAUCUAGCAAGCAAACAGCCAUGGAAGAUAGCAUUUACAUCUGGUUGUCCAUAGCCACGUUAAUAUCUUUGCAAGGAGUACAGUCUUACUAUCUCAGAUCUGCUGAGCUGCUGUUCAUGGGUCCAUCGGUAGAGACUAUUCCAACUGAAAUAACUUCAAGGAUAGAGUAACUUUUCUGAAAGUGAUAUACAAGUCUGUAUUGGGUUUGCGUGGCAAGGUUGUGGUAGUGGGAGGCUACAGGGGUGGUUUCUGCGAGAAGCUGCCAGAAGCUUCCCAUGUGUCCGACAGAGCCAAUGCCAGCCAGCUCCACACCAACCCGCUCCUGGCCAAGGCUGAGCCCAUCAGUGAUGGUGGAAGGGCCUCUGGGGUGACAUAGUUAAGAAGGGGAAAAAAAACCCCUGUGCAACACAAGCAGCUGUCAGAAGAGAGGAGUGAGAACACAUGAGAGCAACAGCGCUGCAGACCCCAAGGUCAAUGAAGAGGGAGGGCAGGAGGUGCUCCAGGUGUCAGAGCAGAGAUUCCCCUGCAGCCCGUGGUGCAGCCCAUGCUGAGGCAGGCUGUGCCCCUGCAGCCCGUGGAGGUCCAUGGUGGAGCAGAUCUCCACCUGCAGCCCAUGGAGGACCCCACACUGGAGCAGGGGGAUGCCUGAAGGAGGCUGUGACCCUGUGGGGAAACGCCCGCUGGAACAGGCUCCUGGCAGGACCUGUGGCCCCAUGGAGAAAAGAGCCCAUGUGGAGCAGGGUUGCUGCAGGACCUGUGGCCCCAUGGAGGACUCACGCUGGAGUAGUCUGUUCCUAAAGGACUGCACCCCAUGGAAGGGACCUACACUGGAGCAGUUUGUGAAGAACUGCAGCCCAUGGGAAGGACUCACUUUGGAAAAGUUCACAGCUGACUGUCUGCCGUGGGAGGGAGGGACCCCACGCUGGAGCAGGGGAAGAGGGUGAGGAGUCCUCCCCUGAGGAGGAAGGAGCAGCAGAGACAUGUGAUGAACUGACCACAGCCACCAUUCCCCAUCCUCCUGGGCCACUGCAGGGGAAGAGGUAGAGAAAUAAGGAGUGAAGUUGAGGCCAGGCAGAAGGGAGGGAAGGUGUUUUAAGGUUUGCUUUUAUUUCUCAUUAUCAUACUCUGAUUUGAUUUUUAAUAAAUAAAUUAAUUUCCCCAAGUCAA